rnacentral:rRNA from 1 species
UGGGGGAUAUUGCACAAUGGGCGAAAGCCUGAUGCAGCGACGCCGCGUGGGGGAUGAAGGCCUUCGGGUUGUAAACUUCUUUUGCUCUGAACAAGGCAUGCCUUUGGGGUGUGUUGAGUGUAGGGGUUGAUUAGCGCCGGCUAACUACGUGCCAGCAGCCGCGGUAAUACGUAGGGCGCGAGCGUUGUCCGGCAUUAUUGGGCGUAAAGGGCUUGUAGGUGGCUGGUUGCGUCUGGCGUGAAAGCUCAUGGCUUAACUGUGGGUUUGCGGUGGGUACGGGCUGGCUUGGGUGCAGGAGGAGAGGCUGGUAUUCCUGGUGUAGCGGUGGAAUGCGCAGAUAUCAGGAGGAAUACCGGUGGCGAAGGCGGGUCUCUGGGCUGUUACUGACGCUGAGGAGCGAAAGCGUGGGGAGCGAACAGG